rnacentral:rRNA from 1 species
GAGGAAUAUUGGUCAAUGGGCGGAAGCCUGAACCAGCCAUGCCGCGUGCGGGAAGAAGGCGCUACGCGUCGUAAACCGCUUUUGUCCGGGGGUAACCGUAGGGACGUGUCCCUACCUGCAAGUACCGGACGAAUAAGGGUCGGCUAACUCCGUGCCAGCAGCCGCGGUAAUACGGAGGACCCGAGCGUUAUCCGGAUUCAUUGGGUUUAAAGGGUGCGCAGGCGGCCCGGUCAGUCCGCGGUGAAAUGCCCCCGCUUCACGCGGGAGCUGCCGUUGAUACUGCCGGGCUAGAAUCUCAGCGAGGCGGGCGGAAUGCGCGGUGUAGCGGUGAAAUGCAUAGAUAUCGCGCAGAACGCCGAUUGGGGAGCCAGCUCGCCAGCUGGGUAUUGACGCUGAGGCACGAAAGCGUGGGGAUCGAAC